rnacentral:lncRNA from 10 species
AGGGGAGGGGAGAAGCAGCUGUCCCCGGGCUGCCUGGGAGUCACUGGGGAGUCCUAGCCCGCCCUUGGGCCUAGGGCUCCCUGAUGCGGCCUCCACUCUUCGCAGGGCCAGGGGGCGAGGAAGGAGGAGGGAGGGAAGAGGGAAGCUGGGGAGUGGGAGAGCGUCCUCCACGACCGCUUGGGUCCUCCGCGGGGCAGCCUCGGGGAGGGUGGCUGCAGGGCCCGGAGUCGCCUGGAUCGCAGCGCCAUCUCGUGGCUGCUGGCAGGUCUGCCUUGGGCCCUCUUGGCACAAGGCAAGGAAACAGGAGCUCUUCCCAUCAGUGACAGCCCAGGAGAAUGCUCCAGUGUCACCAGUGACUCCUGCUCCCACAUCUGCCUACAGGAAGCCCUCUUGGAACAAAAGCAUCUCACUUCUGGGAGGCAUCAAGUCAAGGGAGAAGCAGUGAUGUUUUAGUAUCCAGAAAGUGGAAAUAACCCAAAUGCCCAUCAACAGCAGAAUGAAAUUGUACUAUAUUCACACCAUGGAAUAUUGUAUAGCAAAGAGAAUGAAUGAACUAUUAACAGAAAAGACAUGGACAAAUCUCAUAAACAUGAUGCUGAAAGAAACCACAGUCAAAAAAGAAGAUGCUUCCCAACCUUUUGCAGACCAUGGCAUACGCAGAAAAUGACAACAUCGGAAUGGCACACUGGCAUACCAGUUGGGGAUCCUUGCAGUCAAUGCUGACUGGACUCAUCCUUCAGCCGCCCCCAAGAAGAGAGAGAUCAAUACCUUGGCACAUCUGUGGGAAAGCUCCCAUUAGAGAGUGUGGGGAAGACACAGGCCUCCACAACACAUUUCAGGUUCUCUAAACUGGCAAAGGGGAAGAGUCUGGGCUUCCUUUGCCCUUUUGUUCUCAAAGAGCCCAGCUGUGCACACCCCUCACCCCUGCACUAUAGCUCCCAUUUGGGUAGUGAAAAAUCACAGGACUCAGGGGAGUUAUGCAGCAUUCGGGAAUGGAGACCUGGAAAGCCACACACUCCUCCUUGCUUUCCUGUGAGCCUCUCUUCUUGCUGUCCCCUUUACAACCAACAGUCCCUGCAGGGGGAAGACACUCUGCUUUAGUCAGUUCCACCUCCCUUCCAGAUCUCAUCCUCCUUUCAGCCUAAUUUUCCUCACACUGUCAUGCUCCUUCCCACUGCUCGCCCCCCACCCCCUACUCUCCUCCAGCACAUCACACAUUGCGCCUGGGCACACUGAGCUUGUCUGCCAUCUAUGAAGAGGCCCAUGUCACCCAAGCCCUUCUCUUUCCCUGUCAUGCCAUAGCCUCUUCCAGGAGCGCUCAGCCUGCUGUUUCUGCUCAGACCUCCCCUCCUCUGCAAAGCCUCCUUCUGCGUGCUGCCCGAGAGCCAUCCCCCACUUGGGUUUGUGUUACUGCUGUGUAUGGCAGCAUCUUCACUGUGCCUGAUUUCCCGUCUUGGCCCAUCGUAGGUGCUCAACAAUUGUUUCUCAAAUGACCAGCGCCUGCAGAGGGACCCUGACAUGAACUCCACCCCACCCCGACUCUUGGCAGUUACUCACUGUCCCCUUGAGUCGGGAUCCCAGCCCCUCAGGGGACCUGUCUUGCAGCCAUUCCACGCUCUGUCACCCCACUGCCAGGAGACUAGAGCCACACUGCCUGGAUGACGCUCAUCUUUACCAGCUCGCAGCUCUGCCAGCUGCCUGCUCAGGGGUGGCCGCCAGCUGAGGGAUUGAGCUGAUUAUAGGUGAAUCAGCACCAGGCUGAUUGUGGUGUGAAAAAGGGGAAGGGUGACUGUGUCUUAGCCUCAAUCCUGGCUCCCCUCCUUCCAGCCCUGACCUGCAGUAACAGCACAGGGCCACCAGAGGCUCUAUUGGGCGACUCAUGCCCCGCGGAGAAAGGCCCAGUAGGAGAGCAUCUGACCCAGUUCCCAGCAGAUGAGAAAGGAAGAAGAGUUCAGGAGGCUUCUACUCUCAGAGGUCUCCAGCACUGAAACCCCGCAGCCGCACCUGGCUGCCUUAUCCUUGUGUUUUGCCCCUCAUGGGUCUAGAAGCUGUUGUGUUACACCUUAACAUCUUCCUCCUUGCUUGCCAUGAGCCCCUCUGCUUGCAGCCCCCUUUACAGAACAACAGUCAUGGUAGAGGGAAGAUGUCUCCACUUUUGUCAGUUCUGCCUCCUUUAGGAGAGUGUCAGGCCUAACCCAUGUGUGCUCUGUCUUUCAGGGCAUGGAAAAGACUAUUGUCCUGUUUCGUCUUUUCAACACCUCUUGACUCUCUCCCCCUGGUUUCCUAACAGCCAGCUAGGUUCAGGGCCUCCCAUCUCUGGCCAGGAUUAGUGCAAUGGCUUUCUGAAGGGUCCCAGGCUCCAGGGAGCCCCUUGCCCAUCAAGUCUCUACCCUGGAGCCAGACAGCCCUUACUUCCAUCAGACAUCAGCCUCCAGUGGCUCCGAAAGGCCAGGCAUCCACACAGCACCCCACGGCCCCAAGAACUGGCUGCUUGAUUUUCCUGCCCUGUGUCCCUCCUCUCCUUGGCCCUCUACCCAGCAAUCACCCCAAAACACUGUGAUGUUUCAAGCCUUUGUACUUUGCACACAUUCUUCUCCAUGGCCUAAUUCCCUCUCUCCACCCCUCACUCCACACCUCCUCCACCUUUACCCUUUCUCCCCAUUCUUUCUUCACCGGGCACAGCCCUACUUAUCCUUCAAAACUGCCACUUCCUCUGCGAAGCCUUUCCUGACCCGUGUCCCAGAAUCCCUCCUCUGAACAAAUCCUGUUCCCUAAACAUGCAUCUCUCAUUGUAUCUGUCACUCAAGGGUUGCAAUAAUUACACACACGCCUGUCCUUUGUCCUCCACUGGCUCUGUACCUCCAUGUGGGACCCAUGGCCAGCACACAUUGGUGGUGCCCGAAAGCUGUUGCACUGGAGUUGUUCCUUCUGCCCCAUCACCUCCCACCUUGAACAAGUCCUUUAGAUGACCUGAACUCCAGUUUGUUGAUCUGCAAAAUGGAGAGAUGUGAGAAUCAGAAGAGAACACGUAAUGAAAGGGUGUUAUAAACUGCUAAGGGCUGUACAAAUGUUUGUAUUGCAUUUUUGUCUUCCAGACUAGUGUUUACCUACACUUGCCUGUGUGGAAAUCAGAAGAUUAAAGGAAUGCGAUGUGAUCUUUUUGUAAUUUCCCCACUUGGGUCAAGGGAAAAGCUGGUCAAGAGUAAACCAUUAAUUCAUCCCCCUGCAGGCCCCCCAAUCUUCCCUAGAAUUCUGGGUUAAUGAUUCUGAGGUUGUUUUCCUCACAGAGCCAAUUCAUAUCUAAUCUUUGGCAUGUUCCCCCCUUUAUUAAGAAUAACUUGACUCACCCCAUUAAUUCCUCAUCCUGGGGUCACGAGCCUUGUUUUGCAGAAGGAAAUGGUGGCUGUGUGUAUGUCUUGGGCCUUCUUUCUUUCUCAAACCCCUUUCUUUCAUGGAUUCAUGCCUACAAUUCCCUCUGUGGACAGAAGAGACCUCUCCUUACCUGCAUAAUGAAAUGUGUGACUUUUCUCAAAAGUAGCUUUAGGAAUUAACUGUGGAGGUCCAAGUAGCAAGGAUGCUGUGACCUAACUCGUUACCCCCUCACGUGUGGUUUGGAAUCCCAGCAGAAAAAAUUUCCUGAAGAUCUGGUACGGAGAAACCAUUCUGGGCCUGGCUUUUAAAUGUUUUAUUAGCAGCUGGGCGAGGACUGGGCUGCAAAGAGAUGCAGCCCCCGUCAGAAGCGAUCCCUGUUGGGGAGCAAGGCCUGGAAUUCCAGGAGGGAGGUCUGUUUAUAGCUGAGGCAGAGGCUGGGGAGCGAAGCCUGGGAGCCAGACAUGGCUUAAGGGUGGUCUGGACACUCUUGAGAUAAGGCCAACUAAGGACUAUGAGCUCAUUGAAGUUCCAAAGCCAACUCACAGCAGCUCACCACCAGACAUGUCCCCUGCCCCCACAUUCCCUCCUCUCAAUCCAGGAAUUUUGGUGCUCAUCUCUAUAAAGUUUUAGACCAUGGUGGUAGGAACCUGGUAAGUCUCAGGUUCUUGCAUUGCCCGAUUCUCCUUGGAUUUGCUGGGUUUGCCUCCUUCCCAUGUCUCAGACAGGGCUUUGCAUAAAGAAGUGGGCUGGUAGAUCUGCAAAGGUCCCUCUGUGUGACUGGAGCAAGUUACCCUCUUGAGCCUCAGUGUCCUCUUCUGUAAAAUAGGGAUAUCAUUCUUUCUUUCCCAAGGCUUUUGGUAAUAAUGUCAUUCUCAUGUGAUUCUUAACAAAAUGGGCCUUUCAGACUUAGAUCACUUUUGUGCAUGCAUAAAAAUGAAAGCAUUGAGGAGAAGGAAUUGGUGAAUAUAUGUCUGGAGCAAUAACUUCAUCAGAACUGCCACGGUGGUUGUAGGACCAUUCUGAUUCCAGAGGUAUUAAAAUGCAAAACACAAUGUUGAAAUGCAAAACCCAACAAAAUAAUAAACAGCCUUGUACCUACCGCCUCCCUUAAGAACUAAAACAAUUCCCAACACCACUGAAAGACUGUGUUCACCUCCUUGAUCCAAUCUCUUGCCUUUCCACCCCAGAGAAAACCACUGUCCUGAAUUUUUUCCCACUCCCUUGGUUUUGUUUUACCAAACAUGUAUCCAAUAUGUAACAUAUUAUUUGUAUUUGAUCUUGUUUUUGAAUUGUCCUGUAGGUAGAAUUAUAUCUUAUUCUGCAAUUUGCUUUUUAAAGUUUUUGAAAGAGCAAAACUUAUCUAUGCUAAUACGCUAAUGUGUGUAGCUGCCAUUUAUUUGUCACUGCAUAUACCCCUCUCAAUUCUGUUGAUGGAAAUUUAGGCAGUUUCCAGUAUUAUUUUGCUACAAACAUUCUCAUGGCUGUCUCCUGCAACAUGUGUGUUUCUUGGGAGUAUAC